rnacentral:lncRNA from 1 species
AUAAAUUAAGAACUCAAAAGAAGGUUUGGUUUGAUCUGGUAUAUGUCAAUUUUCUUUGCUCUUUCUUGCAUGCAUCGUGAUGAUCCGUGACAUUCACGCGAUGUCAGUAUGCCACCCUUGUCUCUUUCAACAGUCAACACUUGUCACAUAGAAUACUCGUCAAACUUAUCUUAUAAAAAAAAAAAAAUCAAAUACAUCAAUUAAGAUAAGUUGAAUGAAAUUAACGUUGAUCUCACCUUUUAAAAAUGAGUCUUAAUCGUGGUCGAUACAUCAAUUAAGAUAAGUUGAAUGAAAUUAACGUUGAUCUCACCUUUUAAAAAUGAGUCUUAAUCGUGGUCGAUACAUCAAUUAAGAUAAGUUGAAUGGC